rnacentral:sRNA from 1 species
CCUGCCUGCCCUUCGGGCACCUCAGGAAGGCACCUUCCUCUGUCAGAAUGGCCACCAUGGUACCAUCCGUGUUGUGGCCCAGGGCCUGCUGGACUCUGCUGGUCUGCUGUCUGCUGACCCCAGGUGUCCAGGGGCAGGAGUUCCUUUUGCGGGUGGAGCCCCAGAACCCUGUGCUCUCUGCUGGAGGGUCCCUGUUUGUGAACUGCAGUACUGAUUGUCCCAGCUCUGAGAAAAUCGCCUUGGAGACGUCCCUAUCAAAGGAGCUGGUGGCCAGUGGCAUGGGCUGGGCAGCCUUCAAUCUCAGCAACGUGACUGGCAACAGUCGGAUCCUCUGCUCAGUGUACUGCAAUGGCUCCCAGAUAACAGGCUCCUCUAACAUCACCGUGUACAGGCUCCCGGAGCGUGUGGAGCUGGCACCCCUGCCUCCUUGGCAGCAGGUGGGUCAGAACUUCACCCUGCGCUGCCAAGUGGAGGGUGGGUCGCCCCGGACCAGCCUCACGGUGGUGCUGCUUCGCUGGGAGGAGGAGCUGAGCCGGCAGCCCGCAGUGGAGGAGCCAGCGGAGGUCACUGCCACUGUGCUGGCCAGCAGAGACGACCACGGAGCCCCUUUCUCAUGCCGCACAGAACUGGACAUGCAGCCCCAGGGGCUGGGACUGUUCGUGAACACCUCAGCCCCCCGCCAGCUCCGAACCUUUGGUGAGAGAAGGGGCUUCAGACGGUGGGUGACGAGCUGAGCCAGGGUAAACGGUGCCCUGACCUUGGGGUUCCUGAGAGUGGGGUACCCUGGACCUCACAGGCUUCUGGGAAGGAAAGCCCCCGGCCACUGGGCAAGGUGGCCCCGGAAGGGAGGCCCGAGCCGUGGGAUCUUUGAAGAAGGCCGUUUUCAUGGCCCUGUGUGUGUGUCCUGCGAAGAAGGGUGACCCAGUCAGCAAGAUAUCCUGACUGGGGGGGAUGAGGGUGUCCUGGGGAAGGCACAAUCCUGGGGGUUGUACUAUGCCCACCUUUCUCCCCAGUCCUGCCCGUGACCCCCCCGCGCCUCGUGGCCCCCCGGUUCUUGGAGGUGGAAACGUCGUGGCCGGUGGACUGCACCCUAGACGGGCUUUUUCCAGCCUCAGAGGCCCAGGUCUACCUGGCGCUGGGGGACCAGAUGCUGAAUGCGACAGUCAUGAACCACGGGGACACGCUAACGGCCACAGCCACAGCCACGGCGCGCGCGGAUCAGGAGGGUGCCCGGGAGAUCGUCUGCAACGUGACCCUAGGGGGCGAGAGACGGGAGGCCCGGGAGAACUUGACGGUCUUUAGUAAGAGGAGGCGUGGGAAGGGGGCGCGGCCUCAGCAGUCUGGGGGCGUGGCAGAGGGGGCGGAGACUAGCCGAAAAGGUGGGGCCUGGCUUGCCCCAAUAGCAGUUGCAACGUGGGUUGGGCCUGAGUGCCCGAAGCUGGACACAGCGCGGAAAGAGGGCGAGGCUUGAACGGCCGAAAGCGUGGCCCGGAUAUCCCGAGAGGAAAGGGGAGGGCGGAGGGAGCGGCUUGACCCACAGGAAGGUCCUGUUCAUUAAGCUCCUGGGCAAUGCCCCGCCUUUAGGCUUCCUAGGACCCACUGUGAACCUCAGCGAGCCCACCGCCCCUGAGGGGUCCACAGUGACCGUGAGUUGCAUGGCUGGGGCUCGAGUCCAGGUCACGCUGGACGGAGUUCCGGCCGCGGCCCCGGGGCAGCCAGCUCAACUUCAGCUAAAUGCUACCGAGAGUGACGACAGACGCAGCUUCUUCUGCAGUGCCACUCUCGAGGUGGACGGCGAGUUCUUGCACAGGAACAGUAGCGUCCAGCUGCGAGUCCUGUGUGAGUCGGUCACCCUGACCUUUAAUCCCUCCAGCCCUGUCCUGGAAAGAUUAGACGCUCCUCUGCACCACUGUGCCUCGGGUGUGUUGGGUGUCUGAUCACACAUGGUGGUUCCACAGAUGGUCCCAAAAUUGACCGAGCCACAUGCCCCCAGCACUUGAAAUGGAAAGAUAAAACGACACACGUCCUGCAGUGCCAAGCCAGGGGCAACCCGUACCCCGAGCUGCGGUGUUUGAAGGAAGGCUCCAGCCGGGAGGUGCCGGUGGGGAUCCCGUUCUUCGUCAACGUAACACAUAAUGGUACUUAUCAGUGCCAAGCGUCCAGCUCACGAGGCAAAUACACCCUGGUCGUGGUGAUGGACAUUGAGGCUGGGAGCUCCCACUUUGUCCCCGUCUUCGUGGCGGUGUUACUGACCCUGGGCGUGGUGACUAUCGUACUGGCCUUAAUGUACGUCUUCAGGGAGCACAAACGGAGCGGCAGUUACCAUGUUAGGGAGGAGAGCACCUAUCUGCCCCUCACGUCUAUGCAGCCGACACAAGCAAUGGGGGAAGAACCGUCCAGAGCUGAGUGACGCUGGGAUCCGGGAUCAAAGUUGGCGGGGGCUUGGCUGUGCCCUCAGAUUCCGCACCAAUAAAGCCUUCAAACUCCCUAA